GUUCCAUGAAAAGUAUUAUCUAUCAAUAUAUGCCCUUAUUACUCAGGAAGCAAAUGGAAUGACUGGCUUUCAGAAGGUGAGAUCAGAGAGAACAUUCAAGACAUGAGCCUGGUGGUACAGCAGCCAUUUUGCCACCAUGAGUUGACCAGCAUGAGGCAAAGGUCUACACUGUGAGGAUGACAGAGGAAAGACAGGAAGAGCUUGGAUCCCAGAUGUCAUCACUAAACUGUCAUUAACCCUGGAUUGUCCACACUGGAAUUUUUGUUUAUAGAGAUAAAUGAAAUAUUGUUUGAGAGUUUCAAUUGUGCCGCUGAAUACAUUGCUAACUGAUAUAAAGGACUGACAAGGAAUUUGCAUAUUAUAAUUUUAUGAAACUGUCAAUGACUUUCCCACCUGAUACAUUAAUUGAUAGUUAUAAUCUGUGCAGAAAGGACAAAAAUGGGGUUUCUCAAUGUCUACCCUCAUUAGUAACGGGGCAGAGGGGAAAGCCAGCAGCCUACGUCCCAAUUGUUUCCAUUCUGGUUUCACUCUUCUGCUACUCGUUAUGUCUCUCCACCUCUCAAACACUAGCAAACAAUGUCAGAAGACCCAUGUGAAGGCUCUCGGGUCCAAAUACUGAAGGCUGCACUGUUGGCUUCCGUACUUUUGAGGUUUUGGGACUCCGACUGGCUUCCUUGCUCCUCAGCUUGCAGAUGGCCUAGUGUGGGACUUCACUUUGUGAUCAUCACAAUGCUGCAGUUCAUUUCACAGCUGAGAAAACCAGGAGCCAGACAGAAUAAGGGACAGCCAAAUUUAUUGAGACUGUGCUUUUAUUUUCUUCAUCUACCAUUUCUUUGUGCCACUUCUCUUUGAAGUUAUCUGUUAUCCUUAAAAAGGAACUGGAUGGGAAUUAACUUGCUUCUGACUAUA
rnacentral:lncRNA from 1 species